rnacentral:rRNA from 1 species
AAAGGAAUUGACGGGGGCCCGCACAAGCAGCGGAGCAUGUGGCUUAAUUCGAAGCAACGCGAAGAACCUUACCAGGGCUUGACAUAUCGGUGAAGCCGGAGAGAUCCGGUGGCCGAGAGGAGCCGAUACAGGUGGUGCAUGGCUGUCGUCAGCUCGUGCCGUGAGGUGUUGGGUUAAGUCCCGCAACGAGCGCAACCCCCGCCGCGUGUUGCCAGCAUUCAGUUGGGCACUCACGCGGGACUGCCGGCGUCAAGCCGGAGGAAGGCGGGGACGACGUCAAGUCAUCAUGCCCCUCAUGCCCUGGGCCGCACACGUGCUACAAUGGCCGGCACAACGGGUUGCCACCCCGCGAGUGGGAGCGGAUCCCGAAAGCCGGCCCCAGUUCGGAUCGCAGGCUGCAACCCGCCUGCGUGAAGCCGGAGUUGCUAGUAAUCGCGGAUCAGCACGCCGCGGUGAAUACGUUCCCGGGCCUUGUACACACCGCCCGU